CCCCUUGGUUGGCCCGGAGUAUCAGUUUGAGUUUUGGAUCGGUUUCAUUAAUUGUGUUGUGAGAGUUGCCGUGCCCAGCCGUGCCCGACAACUGAUACCAAUACGGGGCUGAAGCACUUUGUGAGAAAUCAUCCUGGCGAGCAGACGUCAAAUUGAAAUUCAUUAUUCAACUGAGUUCAAGUUGGAAGUGACUAGCAGUAUUUGACUUGCCUGAAAAGUGUGAAUAUUUGGACUUUUUCUUCUAGGUAACUAUAGGGCUAGGCGCUGAUCAUCCAUUGCCAAAACACUAGGCCGCCAUCUAGACUCGAGAGGACACAAUCAAAUUAGUCUGGUUAAUAAUCUACCCACCCAAGGGAGCCUUCAGUGAAAAUGGAAAAGAGCAGAUUUAUUACUCUGGCUCGGAAGUUCAAUGCUGUUCUUUUUGAAGAGAACGGCCUGCUGUCCGGCGCGCUGCCGCUGGUGGUGGCCGGCCACACAGUGGGCCUGGUGCGUGCCGAGCUGCUGCCGCUGGUGAGGGCCGCCUCCAUGUUCCACGUGACGGAGGGCGCCGUGACGCUGGACCCGGCGCUGGAGACGCCCGAGGCACGCUCGGCUGCCAUGGCCGAGCUUCUGCAGCGCUGGCGGACGCAGGAAAACCUGGUGGCCCUGCGUGGCUGGAGAAACGAGUGUUAUGAUGUGCGGGCGUCCUUCUCCAGCGCUCCCCUACUAAAGAUGGAACGGUCGGCCACAUGUGUGUUUGGCAUCCGGCAGUACGGGGUGGACCUGAACGGCUACACCCACCACCCGGAGCGGGGCUUCUGCGUCUGGAUCCAGCGCCGCUCGCUGGAGAAGCCCACCUGGCCCGGCAAACUGGACAACAUGGUCUCUGGCGGCCUGACGUCCGGGCUCGGCCUGCUGGAGGCCGUGCAGAAGGAGGCCUGGGAGGAGGCCGGCAUCCCCGAGCACCUGCUGCCCGGUAUCCGGUCGGCCGGCGCCGUCUCAAUCUGCUACCGGAGCGAGCGGGGCCUGUUCGCCAACACCGAGUUUGUGUACGACCUCGAGCUGCCGGCCGACUUCACACCACAGCCGCAGGACGGCGAGGUGGAUGAGUACCGCCUGAUGCCCGUCCAGGUUCGUCUACGGUAAAGGGAGCGCCACAUUCGCCAGCCAUGCCUUCUGCUUCGAUAUCCAGCUUGCACCCGAUUUCCAGCCGAGAAAUCAAGACGGGGAGGCGGAGGAGUUUAUGCUGGUUACACCGAAGGAGCUGAUGGAGCUCGUCUGUAGCCCCGAAUUCAAGACGACCAGCGCGCCGGUCACCCUCGACUUCCUCAUACGGCACGGCUUCAUCACACCAAACAACGAGCCGCGCUUUCUGGAGAUCUGCGAGCUGCUGCACGUGCCACUGGCGAGUGCGUACAGCACGGGCCGGCUCAUUAGCGGGCUGCAGGCCAUCCACGGCUGAGCUGUGAACAAGCACCGCGAGUGGGGAGGGCGCAGCCGUCCAGACGCCGCCGGACCGAACCCUCCAUAGCCAACAGGACAAGACACUUUCGGACCCUCCACAGCCGACAGGACAGGACAGGACAGACCACCGGACCGACCCUCGAUAGCCGAUACUCGACAAGACAGGACAGGAUAGGCCGCUAGACCGCACCCUCUCCAGCUGACACACAACAGGACAGGACAGGAUCCUUCAUAGCUGAUAUCGACAGAACAGGGCAGACCGCCAGACCCGACCUUUAUAGCCGACAGAACAAAAUAAGGACAGUACACCGUCACACAGGACCGAAACAUAUAGCAGACGGGACGGACAGGCUGGUUCAGAUAUCUUCAUCCGACAGGACGCCACCGGACAGGCGGGCAGCACCAGAUCGGAAUCACGUCUACACGACCUUUCCUUCCAACGAACCGGGGCCUGCCCACCAAACCAAGCCACCGCCAGAACUGCCAUUUCCUUGCCGAACCUGUCCUUCCCAUCCAGUUUAAAUCUCCCCUUGACUGACAUGCCUGACUGACGUCCGCACGAAUGUCGCCAUGAACAGUUACUUCGCCCCUCCACUGGAAGGACGGCGGUGCAGAGGACGGGAGUCGCACCUGCUCCUGUCUGUCAGAUAUACUCAGCUGUGGUCGGGGCGUCUUUACGGGUAGCGCGGGUGUGCUGCCUGUCUGCGCUGUGGGUGUGCCACCCUCCGUGGUAUGGCUGUCCUGCCGGUAUGGUGCCCUGUCGUGGGAUGUGCCAUCUGCCUGCCCUGUGGGUAAGAUGCCUCCGUUGGGCACUGUCCCACAGUAGGGCGCCCUGCCGGUAGAGCAGCUGUCCCGCUCGUUUGGGUGAGCCGUGGUGGCCCUCGGCUGCUCCCAUUUCCUUGCCAGGGAGGUCUGGAGGUCCGCAUAGAGGGCAGCGUUAGGCCUCGAAGGCUGUGGGGCGGUCAGUGUUGUUGAACAGAGGCUACUCAAAGUGGUCCCGUUGAGCCGGUGUGUUUUAAAGAGUCCGUAGCUAUUUGUAGACGUUUGCCUGUUUCUAAUAUGUGGUAUCUUCUGAGAGCUUUCCUUUGGCUCUGGGGUACCUUUUUGGGACUUGUGUGUUUUAUUAUGUAGUCAAUUUGCAAUUGGUUCAAUGUGUACUACGUUAUUGCUUUGUGUCGGAUUUUACCGUAUGGGAAGUCAUUUGACUAAGAAUAUACAUUGUCGCACCAUA
rnacentral:misc_RNA from 1 species